rnacentral:lncRNA from 1 species
CAAUACCGUGGUGGAAAUAUAGUUUGGUAUAGUACCUCUUGUGGUGGGCUCUAGUCAGUUCAAAACAUUGCUCAGGGGAGCGUUGGUGAUUCCACUUUGCCACCAAUUUCAGCGGAUACACUAUGUUCCGUUGCAAGGGUUACAUCUAUUGAGCGUAGGUACGGUGGUGUCAUUGAUGUCUGUAAUGCUCUCGAGAUCGUUGAAGGCAACAGUACUCGCAAGGGGCCUUCUAAUUAGGCAUUUGGUAUGGUUUCUGUUACAGUGUGUGCUUCGACCCUGUUUGGUCAACAGUAAUUCCUAGGUGGAAUUUUGGGAACCCGAAAGUAGGUUUUAGGUGUCGCUUGUGGACGCCGUGCAAAGGAAGAUUUUUUAGUGAUAGAGAGUUUUGGUUGCUAUGUAGAGGAGUUUGGCUAUUUCGAUGCAGAUGGACAUAUUUCUCAGGUUGAGAAAUUUUAGAGCUUCGUUCGUUGAACUGAAAUUUGGGUCAAGGUGGAGAUUGUUAGAUUUUGUGCCCUAAAUUAGGGAGGAUUUUUUGGAAAAUAUUAUUUUCUUAUUUUCACGUGAUUUUAUUGGAAAAUAUUGUUCCUUAUUUUCACGUGAUUUCAUUGAAAAAAUAUUAUUUUCCUAAUUUCACAUCAUUUUUUAUAUUAAUUCCAUCUUUAUAGUAUGAUAUGUACUUAUAAAUAGUGGCAUCUUCAUUCAGUAUUGUUUAAGCAAAAAUUGUUGUGCUGUAAGUUUCUCUCCAUAUUGUUAUAAUAAAACAUCGUUUCCUCUACUUAACUCUCUUG